GCAGGCGCGGGGUGUGCGCAGGCGCGUGGCGGCGGCCCUACCGGGAGCGCGCGGGUCCCUGAGGUGGAAGACUCGAGGUGAAAGCUGAACUCAGCUCGGCAGGACGCGGGCCCCGCCGCCCGGGGUUCCCAUAGACUCCCCACCCCCUGGGCGACCAGUUCCUGGGUGGCGGGCUGCUAAGGGAGGAGCUCCUUCGGAUAUAGGUGCUUUCAAACCCCGCUCCCAUUUUAAGCAAGGAUUCUUUUUUCCUGGUUGAAAUGGGUUGCCACAUUUAUAUUGACUCUUUUAUUGCUGUAAAAUGUACCAUUUUGACCACUUUUAAGCGUGCAGUUCUGUGGCAUUAAGUAUCUUUAUAUCGCCGGGCAACCAUCCCCACCCUCCACCUCCGGAACGUUCUCAUUUUCUUAAACUGGAACUGUAUUCCUUACACAGUAACUCCCAAUUGCCCCCUUCCCUUUGUAAAAAUUUAUUUUUAGUUUUAAAAUGAUUCAGGUGUCAGUGAAGAUAGGAGUAUGUGAUAUAAAUUCUCCCACUCUGGAGGCUGCCCCCCCCCAGUUCCGUUCCUGAAAGUAUCAGCAAAUAGCUUUCUUCCCCUUCAGUGUUUCUUGGAGAUCAUCCCCGACGAUCUAGACUUGCCGUAACUUGUCCACCGUGUCCCCUGUUGGUUGACAGUCGGGUUGUUACCAAUGUUUGGACACAAGCUGCUUUUUUGUGCAAGUGUGAGGUCUUCUGUGGGAGGAAUCCCUGGAAUUGGCAUUGCUGGGCCCAGCAGGAUGUGCGUAAAGUAACGUUGAUAGCUCUUGGCAAGCUCCCUCCGGAAGCUCCAUUGAUCAUUGAAGCCCAGCCACAAAAGUUUUCUUGGAAUCGCUUUUCGGUUUCAUGCAAAGCCACUGAAACCUUUUUGAAGAGUUGCUGGUGGAUUCCUCUGGACAGCGGUCGCGGUGUGUUCUCUGAGCCACAGAAGAAGGGUCACCCGUGAACCUCAGUGAUUUAUGCUGUGCCGUGGUAGUGAUGUGAGGGACGGCACAGACGUUCAUGACACAUCUGUUUUGCGCCAGGUGAGGAAACAGCAGGAAGACACCACCCGGGAACCUGGAAGGGGCUCUCACCAGACACUGAAUCUGCCAGCACCUUGACCUUGGACUUCCAGCCUCCAGAACUUUCAGUGGCAAUAAGGGCACUCACGUUGCUGUGUGGCCAUCACCACCAUCAUCUCCAGAGCUCUCUGACCUUCCCAAACUGAGACUCUGUCCCCACUGAAUGCUGACUGCCCACCCCUCCUCCAGCCCCUGGCAGCCACCCGUCUACUCUCUGUGUCUGAAUGUGUCCACUCCAGGGGCCUCAUGUAAGUGGAAUCCUAUAGGAUUUGUCCCUGUGUGUCUGGCUUAUGUCACUGAGCAUAAUGUCCUCAGGGUCCAUCCACGCGGUAGCAGGUGCCAGGAUUUCCUUCCUUUUUAAGGCUGAGUGAUACUGUUCCGUUGUGUGGACGGACCAUUGCUUAUCCAUUUAUCCAUCAGUGGAUUUCUGUGGUGCUUCUGCCUCUUGGCUGUUGUGAGGAAUGCUGCUGUGAACGUGGGUGUCAAACAUCCCUUCAAGUUCCUGCUUUCAGUUCUUUUGGGUAGAAUUGCCCAGUGGUAGGAUUGCUGGCUCAUGUGGUAGUUCUGUGUUUAAUGUUUUGAGGAACCUCCAGACUGUUCUCCCCGCGCCUGCACCAUUUUGCAUCCCCGCCAGCAGUCACGAGCUUCCCGUUUCUCUGUGUCCCCGCUGACCCUUGUUCUUUUCUUUUGUUCUUUUUCUGUGGUAGCCAUCCCAAGGGCUGUGAAGUGUGAACUGGUGUCUCAUUGCGGUUUCACGUGCAUUCCCAGGUUUCCUUUUAUUUGUGGUGAUUUCUCAGUGUUGACGAGAGAGCAUGUGGGAUGGCGUUUCCCAAAUGUUGGCAUGCGUACCCGUCACCCAGGGAGUGUGCUGCAAUGCAGGUUCUGAGUCAGGAGGUCUGGGAGUCUGCCUGUGUAGCCAGCGCCCCAGGUGUUGACGGCAGAAGCUGCUGGGUGAGGACCACACCGUGAGUAAUAAAGACAGAUAACACAGCGCACAGAGGCCCUGCAGUCAGGCCAACCCAGCGUGGGGGUAACUUUCGAAGCCGCAGAGAGCGUGUUUCCUACAGCAGGGCAGUGCUCCCUGAAGGGACUUAGUGGAUGGGAGGUGACUUGAAAAGAUGAUAUGUGUGUGUACGUAGAUCUUUCCUUAUUGCCCUUUCGUUUCAAUUUAGUCCACUCUGGAGAUCCUCAGCAGCGAGGUUACUCUGGAACCGGGGGCGUGUGAAACACCAGGGAGUGAGGCAGUGGGAGAUGGAAAGGGAGGGAGUCUCCUGUCCCGGGGGAGAUUACCUUGGUGGGCGAGGAUUCGCUACUUACAGAGAAGGUGACAUUGCAGAGGUGAUGAGGUGCAGGGAGACUCCACCGCGAGGUGGUACACGUGGGCGAUGCAGACGGUGUGGUCCAGGGCAAGCGGACGGAAGA